UACGUAGGGAGCAAGCGUUGUCCGGAAUCAUUGGGCGUAAAGCGCGCGUAGGUGGCUUCGUAAGUCCGUUGUGAAAGUCAAAGGCUCAACCUUUGAAUGCCGAUGGAUACUGCGGAGCUAGAGUACGGAAGAGGCGAGUGGAAUUCCUGGUGUAGCGGUGGAAUGCGCAGAUAUCAGGAGGAACACCGGUGGCGAAGGCGGGAUCCUGGGCCAGUACUGACGCUGAGGAGCGAAAGCGUGGGGAGCAAACAGG
rnacentral:rRNA from 1 species